rnacentral:lncRNA from 1 species
CCCUAAUCGAUGGAUUUCACAUGACAAGUUUGCAGAUGACACAACAGUAGUAGACCUGAUUACCAACAAUGACAAGCCUACAGGGAGGAGGUGAGGGCCCUGACGGAGUGAUGUCAGGAAAAUACCCUCUCCCUCAACGUCAACAAAAUGAAGAAGCUGAUCGUGGACUUCAGGAAACAGCAGAGGGAGUAUGCCCCUAUCCACAUCGACAGGACCGCAGUGGAGAAGGUGGAAAGCUUCAAGUUCCUCGGAAUACACAUCACUGACAAUCUGAAAUGGUCCACCCACACAGACAGCAUGGUGAAGAAGGCGCAACAGCAUUUCGUUACACCUGCAAUAACAUCUGCUAAAUAUGUGUAUGUGACCAAUACAAUUUGAUUUCACUGAGCAGGGGCCCACCCACUGGGGAGUCAGGCCCAGCCAAUCAGAAUGAGUUUUUCCCAAAAAAAUUGCUUUUUUACAGACAGAAAUACUCCUCAGUUUCAUCAGCUGUCCGGGUGGCUGGUCUCAGAUGAUCCCGCAGGUGAAGAAGCUGGAUGUGGAUGUGGAGGUCCUGGGCUGGUGUGGUUACACCUGGUCUGCGGUUGUGAGGCCGGUUGGAUGUACUGCCAAAUUCUGUCAAACAACGUUGGAGGUGGCUUAUGGUAGAGAAAUUAACAUUCAAUUCUCUGGAAAGAGCUCUGGUGGACAUUCCUGCAGUCAGCAUGACAAUUGCAUGCUCCCUCAAAAUUUGAGACAUCAGCGGCAUUGUGUUGUGGGACAAAACUGCACAUUGUAGAGUGUCCUUUUAUUGUCCCCAGCACAAGAUGUAAUGAUCAUGCUGUUUAAUCAGCUUCUUGAUAUGCCACACUUGUCAGGUGGAUGGACUCGCUUGGCAAAUGAGAAAUGCUCACUGAUAAGGAUUUAAACAAAUUUGUACACAAAAUUUAAGAGAAAUAAGCUUUUUGUGCAUAUGGAACAUUUCUGGGAACUUUUAUAUCAGCUCAUGAAACAUGGGACCAACACUUCACAUGUUGUUUAUCUUUCUGUUCAGUAGAGUUGUACUGCAGCUGAAAAGUUGGCAUUGUCGACAUCAUCGCUAUGAUGAAUGGAAAUAGAUGAAGAGUCUUUUUCCAGCGCAACAUCAAAGAUGAAUAACAGCGCUGAAAUGACAUUAUUAAACUAUUGCAUCAAUGUAAUACUAUGAAAUGUUUGUUUAAUUUUCACUUUAACAAGAUUAAGAGUGCACCACUCUGAUCAUAUUCUGGUGAUGGGUCGUUCGCCAACGAGUUGGCUCUAAGAGUCGGCUCUUGUAGGUGAACAUUAGGAACCGGCUCGCAUAUCAGAAGAGCCAAAUCUAUUUAUAAAAAAAUAAAAGAAUCAAAAGAUUUAAAUGAACAGAGUUAACUAAUUCAAAAAACAAAAAAAGAAGUAAAAUAAUAUAGGCUUAACUGCUCAAGCGCACACAUUCAUUCUGACUGUCUGCUUAGACUAACAGCCUCAUCUGUUGUUCCUGUCAAUCAGACACAGUGUCAACCAAUGAACCAAAGAUGCGUGAGGGAGGGCUGAGCCAACUCACUCACAGUCACACACUUAGCAGCCGAGGAGAGAGAGGAAGGACAGCUGUGAAAACAACUGCUGGAAAAUGAGUCGGAAGCACAGUAGCAUUUGGAUGCAUUUUAAUAAUGUAGACAAUGUUAGAGCACAGUGUAGAAUUUGCAACAACAAAAAUCUCAUAUAAAGCCGGUUCUAUGCACAACCUACACCGGCAUAUGCGAACAGUGCACCCAACUGUGAAGCUAGCUGUAGCGGAGCUUCGAGAAACUAGCGGCCUGCUAGUGAUAGUGGUGGAGCCAGCACCUCCACACGUGGUCAGUCAAGUAGGCCUACUCCACGACCCACAGCAACGCAGUCUUCUAUGGACCAGUUUAUGGCAAAGUCUAUGUCUGUAGCAAAACAAGGCCAAAUUGAUAUUGCACUGGCUAAAAGAUUGCCACUGAUUUCCAGCCAUUUUUGAUCGUGGAGGACAGAGGUUUUAUAAAUUAUAGCAAUCGUCUAAAUCCAAUGUACACAAUUCCAAACAGGAAAACCCUUUCAAAAUCACUUAUUCCACAACUGUACGAGAGCACACAGGCUUCAGUGUGGGAAAGAGUCCUAAAAGCUACUGCAGUUUGCCUUACCACUGACUGCUGGACAUCAAGGUUAACCACUUCUUACCUGUCGGUUACAUGUCACUUCAUUGAAGAUUUUUCGAUGUCUAGCUGUCUUCUGGACUGCUUUGAGUUCAGCGACAGUCACACCUCAGAGAACUUGGCAGAGGAACUGUUGAGAGUGGUCAGAGAAUGGCAAGUAGAUGGAAAAGUGGUCUGCUGUGUUAGUGCAGCUAACAUAACCAAAGCCAUGAACAUUUUUAAAUGGACCCAUCGUCCAUGUCUUGCCCACACAAUCAACCUAAUUGUAAGAGAUGCUCUGAAGGUGAUGAAGCCCACUGUGGACAAAGUGAAAGCAGCUGUGGAAUACUUCCACAGGAGCACAGUAGGUGCUGAAAAACUUGUCUACACAAUGCCAGAUGGGGAUGCCUGAGCUGAGGCCUAAACAAGGCUGCACUACAAGGUGGAAUUCAACAUCUUAUAUGUUGAAGCGGUUUCUUGAGUCAAAGGAUGCCAUCAUCUCUACCCUGGCCAUUGUCAAUGCACCUGUUGAUGCUCUGACCCAAGAGGAAUGGGAGGUGGUGGAGGUGUGCAGAGUCCUGGAACCCUUUGAGCAGGUCACUGUGGAGAUCAGUGGAGAGGUAGACUAUGUGACAGCCUCAAAAAUGAUACUCCUGUGUAAGGUUCUGCAGCAAAUCACAGCCAGCCGCCAGAGAGAAGCAAAUGUAACCACAGUACAUGUGACAGAGUUGGUGGACACCCUAUGUUCAUCAAUGGACAGAAAGUUCCACAGAAUGGAAUAUAAUCACGUGCUAUCAGAAACCGCUGCACUUGACCCCAGGUUUGAGAAGUUAGCCUUCAGUGAUGACAGAGCGAUUGAUGAGGCUCUUCAAAGAAUAACCUCAGCAGCAGGGAGGGACAGCCCCAGCAGUCAGCUGGCUCAGGCACCAGGGCAACAGGAAGAAGAGGGAGCAGAUGGAGCAGAAGCACCAGCAGUAGUGCCACAAACGUCUGCUGUUUGGAUGCUGUUUGAGAGAGAGCAACUGGGGAUGCAGCACGAAGGAAUCCCUCAGCAGAUGCCAUAAUGGAGGUCCGAUCCUAUUUGGAGGAGCCCCUCCUCCAAAGAUCUGCAGAUCCUCUGAGCUGGUGGAAGAACAAGGCCUCUGUCUACCCACGGCUUACUAAAGUCCUGACAGGGAGACUCUGCAUAGUGGCCACAUCAGUUCCCUCUGAGAUGGUCUUCUCGAAAACGGGACAAAUAAUUACUGAGAGAAGAAACCACAUCAGCCCCUCGAAAGUGAGGCAGCUUGCAUUUCUGAAUUCAAAUCUCUCAUAAAAGCAAAUAUGGUUAGCAUUGCUGUGUGCUGCUGGUUAUAACAUGGCAAUAAAGAAGAGAGAGAAAAGAGGGACCAGUUUAAUGUUUUUAGUGGGAUGCUGCAGUUUUUCACAUUGUUAUUUAUUUUUCUUUGAUAUGGUG